rnacentral:rRNA from 1 species
UACGGGGGGGGCAAGCGUUGUUCGGAAUUACUGGGCGUAAAGGGCUCGUAGGCGGCCAACUAAGUCGGAUGUGAAAUCCCCAGGCUUAACCUGGGAACUGCAUCCGAUACUGGAUGGCUUGAAUCCGGGAGAGGGAUGCGGAAUUCCAGGUGUAGCGGUGAAAUGCGUAGAGAUGUGGAGGAACACCAGUGGCGAAGGCGGCUUUCUGGUCUGUAACUGACGCUGAGGUGCGAAAGCGUGGGGAGCAAACAGG